rnacentral:rRNA from 1 species
UACGUAGGGACCGAGCGUUGUCCGGAUUCAUUGGGCGUAAAGAGCUCGUAGGCGGCCACUCAAGUCGAAUGUGAAACCUCGAGGCUUAACCUCGAGCCUGCAUUCGAUACUGGGCGGCUAGAGUCUGGUAGGGGGAUCUGGAAUUCCUGGUGUAGCGGUGGAAUGCGCAGAUAUCAGGAGGAACACCGGUGGCGAAGGCGGGAUCCUGGACCGACAUUGACGCUGAGGAGCGAAAGCUAGGGGAGCAAACGGGG